GUCCAAGUCCAGGCUGGACAGCCUGCAGUUCAAGCCCAGGAGGCAGGAGCUACCGUGGAUCUUAUUCUUGCUAUCUGCACUCUCAUCUCUUUGACUCCUCACAACCACCCUGUAAGGUGGGCACUUGGCAGAGGAGGCAAUUCAAGUUUUGGAGAAGGAGGAGACCCACUACUUCCCUGGUCUUCUGGACAGACAACAGCAGGCAAAAGGGCUCCAUCAGUGGUUUUCAAACUGUGCUCCAAGGCACCCUGGGGCCAAGAAGAGUUUGCAACCACCCUGAAGAGAGGAUGUCCCCAAGGUCCUCCUGGGAUCCCACCCACCUCCCUGCCUCCCCUUCAGUCCUGGUCCACCCCUGAAAGGCAGGAUGUGGCUGCCAAAGUAGAGACAAGGUUUUACCAUGUUGCCAAGGCUGCUCCCGAACUCCUGACCUCAGGUGAUCCUCCUGCCUCAGUCUCCUAAAGUGCUAGGAUUACAGGCGUGAGCCACUGCGCCUGGCCCCAGGCUGGUCUUGAACUCCUGCCCUCAAGCGAUCCUCGUGCAUCGACAGCUCAAAGUGCUGAAAUUACAGGCAUAGGCCACCGUGCCCAGCCACAAGCAGCAUCUUGCAGAUGAGAACACUGAGGCUCAGGGGAAGCAACACGUGCAGUCCCCGAGAGGCAAGUAGCCCAGCUCAGACUCAAGCCCGUCUCCGAAUUCCAGAUUCCAGGAAGGACGCUUCCAUGAAGCUAUUCCUUUGCUUUGAAAAAAAAACAACCUUCCCUUUACAGCCUCGUCAAAUAACAAUGGAACACCCACCCAUACACCGCAGCUCAAGGAAGCUGUUUCUGUGCUGAUGCCUGCCAUUCUCCAAGAAAAAACUCCGCCAUUCACAGGGUGUGUUUAAGGCGGAGAAGAGAAUACAAAUGCAUCUCCCCGCGUACCCGCCUAGGGCAUCUCUGGGAAAAUAUACUCAAAUACUCAAGAAACGGUGGGGGAACGGGGUGGGAGGAGGACUUCUCUCUCACUGCAUAUCCUUUGAGUAUUUUGAUGAUUUGGACAUGUGAACAUAUUCGCUCUUCAGCAAG
rnacentral:lncRNA from 1 species